AAAUUACCCAAUCCUGACACGGGGAGGUAGUGACAAUAAAUACUGAUACAGGGCUCUUUUGGGUCUUGUAAUUGGAAUGAGUACAAUUUAAAUCCCUUAACGAGGAACAAUUGGAGGGCAAGUCUGGUGCCAGCAGCCGCGGUAAUUCCAGCUCCAAUAGCGUAUAUUAAAGUUGUUGCAGUUAAAAAGCUCGUAGUUGGAUCUUGGGUCGUAAAGGUCGGU
rnacentral:rRNA from 1 species